GAUGUGUGAGCAAUUCUCUUAAAAUGGAAAAAGAAAUUUAUAAUGCAGAGCAGUUCAUUAAUUUCAGUUAACAUUACAAAUACUCAAAAGGAAAGAAAAUAAAAAAGGAAAAUUAAAUCACACACAUCCACAGAUUGUCUCCACGCAACGCAUCUUUACAAUCAUUAGAUUGUAUGUUUGAACCUUUAUUAGGGUGAUAUAUAUGACACAAAUAACACAUAAUCUUUUUUAUUUAUUUAUUUUGUAGGAAUUCCA
rnacentral:lncRNA from 1 species